ensembl:lncRNA
AUGAUUUGGAGUGUGGUCUCUGGCUUCCUUGGGUGCCUACAAGCCCAGCACCGUUGUAGGGGGCUUUCAGUAGCUGAGCAAUCCAUGAUGAAUGAACUCUUUUCUGUGGGCAGCAAACUCCCUGUUAUGGGAUAUGACUGGAGAAGAGAGAAUUGUCUCCUGGUGAACAGACUCCAGAAAGAGUGGCACAACCCUUUCCACCACCACCAUCCAGCCUGUUGUUCCACGACUUGCUUAACCAACCGGGGACUCAGACUUCUCACCCCUAAGUAAGAAGAGUCAAGUGAAAAAAGCUUUGAGCGCUAUCAUUUCUUGAGGCUGGAGAAGAGGUGGAAUGAACCCUGUGUUGUAUGUCUUAACAAUAAAGCAAUCAUUUCUCUCAUAACUGUUGAAUAAUUUAGGCUCUUUUUACCAGACAAGAGCUUGAUUGCAUUGCUAGGUUUCCUGACUUAAAGGAGCAAGUUAGCAAUAGUAAAAAUGGGCAAAGAAAGCUCAGGGCUGGAUGAUAAAAGGCCAGGAUAUGUAUGAAAUUAGCACUGAAGGUGCUAUCAGGCUAAUCCUAUGGGGGUAAAGAGGCUCGGGGCGGGGGGGGGGGGGGCGGUUAGCCACCCUGAAUGACUUAGAUCAAGUUAUGAGAGAAGUCUAGAGACAUUUUCUAAAGAAAAGUGAUCGAAUAUAGCUCAGUUUUAAUAUAAAUUAUGUUUUUGUGAGUACACAACGUGAAUUAUGUUCUUGAACAUUUAUCUGAAGUAAAUAUACUUGGACACCUUCCUUGCCAAGCACUGUGCUGAGACAUUGGGAAUUCAACAAUGAACAACACUUACGGAGCUUACUUCCUAGUGGGAGGGGCUAAAAGGCAACUACUGGAGCCACGAACGAGGGGGAUAAGCAAUACAAGGAAAGAAUGCGUGCUGUGAUAGAUCAGAACAAUACUUGUAGCUGAAAUGAUCCUAAAAGGCCUUUCAGGGGGGCACUUGAGAAGUGGGGAUGGAAGGAGAAAAGUGAGAUAUCCAAAGAAACAGGGAGUAGGGGAUGUGGAACAUUCUAGGCAAAAGGAAUAGCGAACACAAAGACCCAAGUUAUGGAAGGGGUUGGCAGGUUGUGUAUGAAGAGAAAGAAGCCCAGUGUGGCCGAAAGCAUAGAGAUCAAUGAAGAAAGUUCCAGAUGGCAUUGUAGGGGCAGGCAGAAGCCUGAUCACGUAGGACAGCAGGAGACCCCAUGCAGAUUUUGCUUGGGGGUAGUGGAUUUUGGACUUUUGAGCUCCAGAACUGCUAAGAGAAUGUGUUAAGUCACCAAGUUUGUGGUAAUCGUUACAGUAGCCCUAGGACAGUAAUACACCUGCGCAGGAAAAGACUGUCCCUGUCUGAGUCUACCUGCAUCCCUCCCCAUCUGAAAGAAACAGGACCAUUACAUUAAGUGAUUGGUGCAAUUUAAUCCCUAAUAUAAGACAGUGGAUUUCUCAUUCAGUGUCUGGUCCUCAGUACUGUAUCUCCAAGAACUCAUUUUCCUUGCCUCACCUGGUGUGAUCAGAUUAAAGAGGAAUAAUACACACUAGCCUAACUCAUAAAUCACACCACUGAUUUAUUGGUUGAUUCAUGAAAAUAUAAAUACUAGAGUCCACUUACUCAGAUCAGCCCCUAAGCACUGCUCUGUCUUGCUUGGGACACGUAAAGUCAGAAAGAGGCAA